rnacentral:tRNA from 1 species
GGUUGUGGCUCAGUGGUAGAGCACUUGCCUAGCAUGUGUGAGGUACUGGGUUCGAUUCUCAGCACCA